UUGUUGAAACACCGGUUCUCGUACGAUCACCAAAGUUAAGCAACGUCGAGCCUCAUCAGUACCAAGAUGGGUGACCGCUUGAGGAUACUGAGUGCUGUAUG